rnacentral:rRNA from 1 species
UCACGGGAGGCUGCAGUGAGGAAUAUUGGUCAAUGGACGAGAGUCUGAACCAGCCAAGUCGCGUGAGGGAAGACGGCCCUACGGGUUGUAAACCUCUUUUGUCGGGGAGCAAAGCGAGUCACGUGUGACUCAUUGAGAGUACCCGAAGAAAAAGCAUCGGCUAACUCCGUGCCAGCAGCCGCGGUAAUACGGGGGAUCCGAGCGUUAUCCGGAUUUAUUGGGUUUAAAGGGAGCGUAGGUGGAUUGUUAAGUCAGUUGUGAAAGUUUGCGGCUCAACCGUAAAAUUGCAGUUGAAACUGGCAGUCUUGAGUACAGUAGAGGUGGGCGGAAUUCGUGGUGUAGAGGUGAAAUGCUUAGAUAUCACGAAGAACUCCGAUUGCGAAGGCAGCUCACUGGACUGCAACUGACACUGAUGCUCGAAAGUGUGGGUAUCAAACAGGAUUAGAUACCCUGGUAGUC